GGUUAUCCGAUCCCACUUCCAUUCGGGUAUUUCUGGUUGUUGCAACAAUCCUGAGGGCUUUUGGUAUUCCACCUUGACUUUGGCGCAAGUCAGACAUUUGCCUACAUAGGUAGCAAUUUCGGCUUUCAUGUUCGGCCACCAAUACAGUUUCUUGAGGUCCAGAUACAUCUUAUCUGAACUGGGGUGUAUGGAGUAUCGUGUCUGUGACAACCCGAUAUUUCAACUCCUUGUAACGACCAAAAUGGGUCAAGUAUUGUAACCACUUCUGAAUAAUAAUAAUUUACUUUCAUAAUAAAAUGUACAAAUAAGUCCUAUUUAAUUUCCUUCUAUGAUUAAAUGUCUUUGAACCAUGAUCGUACGUGAAAAGAACGCCCAAAUCCGACUUCAUAUAGCGAAGUUAUGAUUUUCCAAGUUCGGCUUAGCAACAGACAGCUAAAAACUCGAAUCGGAGAUCGAGCGACUUUUGGCUGGAAUGACCUAAACGAGAAUCAAAGGUCUCGUCAAUGGUAUUCCAGCAGUAAAAAGUCUGGCAAAAACCGACAUCAGAUAAAGAAGUUAUGAAUUUUCUAAGAAAUUCCUUAAACGCGAUGGAUUUUUAAUAAAUAAUAAUAAAAUAAUUUCGGAAUUUGCCGACGGAGUCUAAACGAAAGUUGUAGAGCGUAGUCUCACCUACGCGAGGAUAUAAAGACCAUCGAAAACGGAGUUCGUAUGAAGAAGAUAUGAAUUUUUGAAGUUUAUUAAAUAAAUAAAUUAUUUAUUUAAAUCAAAAUUCGGAUAUUAUCCGAAGGGGAGUCAGCAUCCUCCUCCGAGGUACGCGCUGCGUACCCCUGUACGCCCCGCGUAACCGAGGGGAUUGGCCUCUGAUCGUCCACGUCGCGCUAUCCGAAGAAACCGACCCAUCCGACCCGUCCGAAGCCCCGACCCGUCCGACCCGACGUCCCAUCCGACCCGGCGUCCCAUCCGACCCGCGUACCCAGCAACCCGUCCCAUCCGAACCGAGGCAGUCGAGGCUUCGGUCAUGCAUGACGUACGCGUACGCAGCGCGUACGAGCGUACGCCCCGCGUACCGAGGCAGACCAGCCUUCCUAUAAAUAGAAUGCGAGGGUUUCCAAAGAAAGGGUUCAUUUCUCUUCUCUCUCUCUCAACAUUUCCUCGUUUUCCGUGUCCGUUCAAACCCGAAGCUCUGGUCUUUUUGGCUCAAGUCCCGAAGGUCGAUUUUGCUCCCGAGAUUCCCGAGAAUCCCGAGGAAAAUCCGUUUCCCGAGACGAAACUCUGCCCGGUUUUCCAUCUCGCUAUCUCCAAAACUUUCAAGUGAGUUUCAUACCCCUUAAUCAACCUUUUUAAUUAUUCUAAAUACUUUUAUAUGCUUUCAAGGGGGGGAUUACAAGUAAAACACACGAGUAUUAUCGUGUGUUACAUAAAGAAACUCUUUUAUAUACUGUUAUAUAUUCAAAUCACAUGCGAUUUAUAAACAUUUAAAGGAACUUUUAUAUAUAUAUAACAUAUGUCACAAUAGCAUUUUACCUUUUAAAAUAUAAUGUUGUUGUAAUGCAUGUAUAAACUAAACUGUUCUUAGAUUUUUCUUGUCUAUCCUAGACUCUACACCAAAAAUCUAUACUUUCAUAAACAAGUGAUUCCUUUUCUCAAUAUUUCUAAACAAACAAGACACGCUUUUUGGAAACUAUAAUAGGUAUAGUUUUACGAACAGAUUUCUAACUCUUAUGUACUAGAAACACAUAUUUCAAGAAGUUUACUUUCGUAUACAAGAACAAACGUAACAUUUUAACAAGUAGAUCUGUUUUUAUACCACGGAUUUGUGAGACACUAACUUCAUGUACGUUCGAGUACACAUUUCAAGUCCUGUAUUAUAUACCAGAAUCCCUUGGAGGGGGAGCAUGGUGUUUGUGUAUAGAUCUAUACGGGCUUGACAACCCGCGCCCUGACUGUUAGCUGCAGUCCACCGUUUGGGGUGACAAACGUCAUAACAUUCCAACGCCUGAAGAACGUUGUGUAUAGGCAUUCAGAGUCAAUAGUAUGGUUAUAAAACUCACAAGGGGUAUUAAAAAUGCAUUGAUUUACAAGGUUUUCAAACUCAUUGGUUAUUUUACAUUUACAUACAUUUUGGAAACAAACAUUGGUCUUGAGUGAAGGCUACUUUUAUACUAGUAGAAAAUAUAGGAUUUUCUAAACACAAACAAACAAAGAUAAAACAUUUCAUUUCAUUCAAACAUUGUCACUUAAAUACUUAUGAAAUUCACCAGCUUAAAUGCUGAUCUACUCUUUCAAAAUUACUUGUAUGUCCCAGGAAAUCAGUAAUUUCAGGUAUUCAUUUCGCUUUUGAUGAAGGGAUGCUGCGGCGCCAGUUUAAUCUCGUAUUUUGACAUCAUAUUGUAAUUGAGUUUUGAACAUGUAACUUUUGACAAAUGUAAACUUUCAAUUAUAUAUAUGAUGGUUGUAUUGCUUUCUUUACUAUGUAUUCAUUUGUUACGUUACCACAUGAAGUCAUCCGCCCCCGAACGUUUCCGCCGUUCAGGUUUGGGGGUGUGACAGAUUGGUAUCAGAGCAAUGUUUAUAGUGAACUAAGUAUAUCGAACCACAUAAGAUAUACAAACUAUAAAUGCUUAAGGGACUAAUACUCUCUGACAAAACAAAUUUUCUUUUUACACUUAAGCAGCAUUUCGUUCAACUUAAAUUGAUAGUUCAUUUAAGUACAAUUACAUGCAUACCACAAACUAUUUUCAUGUUAUACAACUAUACAAGUAUUUAGACAAGUUGACACUACGAUUGAGACUCGAUAUAUGUAAUCAGAUUUUGGACAAAUAUAGCGUGAUCAACUAUAUUUGCCCAAGAUUGGACCAACGUAUAUCGAGGAAUGAUCGUAGUAAGCAACAAGUCAAAACUUACCAAACCAUUACAAGAAUCAAACACAAGAAUUUAAAUACUAUAGGAGUAUUUGCUAUCUAAACUAGUUUAACUUACAUGUUUUACAUGUUCCGACUUUAUUCAAUUCUUAUAACCCUAUUUCUCGUACAGUCAAAUGGCUGGAUUUCACCACCCUGGCGACCCCUACUUUCCCAACCAAGGCAACGGAGGAUGGAUCGAAGAUGAUCCCGAAGAGGACGAGGAACCCAUAGAAGUGGGUGAUGACUCCGGUACCGACUCAGAGCCGGAAGUUAUCGAUCCACCACCCAUUCAACCUCCCGUCUUCGUAAGGAACUUUCAAGGACCGACUCCCGUCUGGGGAAGUCACCUCCACCAUUGGAGCCAACAGCAAAACCUACGCCCUCCCUACGGCAUGUGCCGGGACUUCUAUGAUGUCCGCGGCGGAGGUUCGGCUGAUCGAGCACUCCCGGUAAUGGUGGGUAAGUUAGCCAAUCAGUCCUAUCAGUCUGGAGUACAAGCUAGUCGACUCCGGGAUAUCAACGUGGAAGUGCAGGUUCACACUUCUGACAUCCGUAGGCUGGACAAGAUGCAAGACAACGCUCAAUUCCAAACCGAAGCGUUUCAAGCGCAAAUGAUUGCAGCCCUCGCCGAACUAAGGGAACAACAAGCCGCUUUCGAUAGGCGUCUAAUGGAGUCAAAGCAAUCAGAUACGGAGUCAAGCUCCAAGCGCAACCUUCGACGCAAGUAGUGCUUGUCAAGGACUCAAAUUUUGUUAUAGCUUAGGACCUCGGCUAAAAGUCUUUAAAUUUCUCGAACUUUGUAAUCGGAGACCCUUAUAGGGGUCAAAUUUUCAUGAUCGUUGUAACAACUUUUAUAUUAAUAUAAGUGGCACUAUUACUACUAUGUUGAGUAUUUCGUUCGAACCUUGAAUGGUCUUUGUGAACCCAAAUACUUGUUUCAUACCUUCAGUCUUACAAAUAACUUUCAUUCUUCUAUUUUAAGACUCAUACUAUCAUCUGUUGUUGAACUAUAGCGAUUUAGUUCAUGAGACACAUACAUUUUCCAUUCUAUGAAAUUCUUAUCCUUGUCUUUUCAAUCUAUAGUUGAAGGAUGCCUCCGCGUAGGAAUCCAAGGCGAAACAACGGUGAGGAAGCACCUAUACCACCACCACCUCCACCACCCCAAUUUGAUGCUGUAAUGUUUCAAGCAGCAGUCACCGCAGCGGUGGCAGCUGCCAUGUCACAGAUCAAUAACUCGAGUACUAAUGGCUCGGGAUCUGGCACACACCUAUCCAACCAUGGCGAGAGUCAUGGACCACCUCGAGAAUGCACCUAUAAGGACUUCACUAAUGCCAAGCCCCGGAUGUUUUAUGGUACUGGUGGUGUGAUGGCCCUGAGGCAGUGGAUUGAAAGGACGGAGGCAGUCUUUGAAAUCUGCUCCUGCCCCGAGCACAGCAAGGUCAAAUUUGCAACUUUCACCCUUCUCGAUAAAGCUUUAACUUGGUGGAAUGGCCACGUUAAAGUACUUACCCUAAUCGUGGCAAACUCCAUAAGCUGGGAGAGCUUGAAGGCCAUGAUGAUGAGAGAAUACUGCCCACGGGGAGAAAUUCAAAAGCUUGAACACGAGCUAUGGACUCUCGGAAUGGUGGGUACCGACAUCGCUACUUAUACCAACAGAUUCUGCGAACUGGCAAUCCUUUGUCCAGAUAUGAUUGCUCCCGAGAGCAAGAAGAUAGAAAGGUACAUCUGGGGACUGACGCCCCAAAUGCGAUCAAGCGUGUUAGCUUCUAAACCUGACACCUUUGAAAGUGCUAAGGAACUGGCACAAUCUCUGAUCGACUACGGAGGUCAUCAGAACUCAACCACUUCUGCACCAGCACCACAGAAAGGAAACAACAACAACAACAACAACAACAACAACAACAACAAUGGCAGGAAGAGAGCGUGGAUUAAAGGGAAGGGUGGGUCUUCCCAAGAAUCCGCAAAGAAACAACUGGUGUCAGUAAAUGCUGCCAUUGUACCUGCUACAGCCCCUACAAAUACCUACCCAACAAAGCCUUAUAUAGGCAACCUCCCAAAAUGCACCAAAUGCAAUUACCACCACCAUGGACCUUGUCGAGAUAUGCAGUGCGCCAACUGCAGCAGGAAAGGACACACAGCCCGUUUCUGCAAGGAACCCGCAAAGCCGAUCACUCAAGUUCCCGGUGCGGGUGUAGGGCAGGCUUGCUACGGUUGUGGCGAGGUGGGCCACUACAAGAGAAACUGUCCUAAGGCAGCAGGCACCGGAGGUGUGGGACGAGUUUUGGCAAUAGGCCACGACGAAGCUGUAGCUGACCCAACUAUAGUUGCUGGUACGUUCCUUCUCGAUAAUUCAUACGCAUGCAUAUUAUUCGAUAGUGGAGCGGAGAGAAGCUUCGUGAGUCAAAACUUUAUUCAUUUACUUAAACCUAAACCUAGCAAGUUAGAAAAAUCAUUCACUGUAGAGAUGGCCAAUGGAAAAACCGAAAACACAAAUUGCAUAUACAUGGGCUGUACGUUAACAUUAGACGGCCAUUCUUUCCCAAUCAAUCUCAUGCCGGUUCAAAUUAAAAGUUUCGACGUCAUAGUCGGCAUGGAUUGGUUGAGUCUUCUUCGCGCCGACAUCAUGUGCUUUGAGAAAGCAGUCCGUCUUAACCUCCCUAACAACGAAACAUUAGUUAUCUACGGCGACAAAUCUAGUGCAAACCUUCGCAUCAUUUCGUGCAUCCAAGCUCGAAAGUGCUUGCGGAAGGAUUGUCGAGCAUUCCUAGCGCACAUCGUCGAUACAAGUCAAGAACUGAAGGACAUCAAGAGCAUCUCGGUAGUACGCGACUUUCCCGAUAUCUUUCCAGAAGAACUACCAGGAUUACCACCGCAACGCCAAGUCGAGUUCAGAAUCGACUUAAUUCCAGGAGCUACCCCAGUAGCGAAGUCGCCUUAUCGUCUUGCACCAGCAGAGAUGCAGGAACUUUCCAGUCAACUUAAUGAACUCCUUCACAAAGGAUUCAUAAGACCAAGUUUCUCACCUUGGGGAGCACCGGUCUUGUUUGUAAAGAAGAAAGACGGAUCGUUCCGUAUGUGCAUCGACUACAGAGAGCUGAACAAACUUACUGUCAAGAACCGCUAUCCUCUACCCCGUAUCGACGACCUAUUCGAUCAACUUCAAGGGGCGAACUACUUCUCCAAAAUAGACCUGCGAUCCGGAUAUCACCAAUUACGAGUUCUAGAGGGGGACAUUCCAAAGACAGCCUUCCGAACUCGUUAUGGACACUACGAAUUCGUGGUGAUGCCGUUCGGAUUAACCAAUGCACCAGCAGUAUUUAUGGACCUAAUGAAUAGGGUAUGCCGCCCUUACUUGGAUCAGUUCGUCAUCGUCUUUAUCGAUGAUAUACUUAUCUACUCUCGAAGUGAGGAAGAGCAUAGUCAACACCUACGAAAAGUCCUAGAAACACUGCGAACGGAGAAACUCUAUGCGAAGUUCUCUAAAUGCGAAUUUUGGAUUCGAAGAGUCGAAUUUUUAGGUCACGUUGUUAGCGAGAAAGGUAUACACGUGGACCCCUCCAAAAUUAAGGCUAUUGAGAACUGGUCGGCACCAAAGACACCUACAGAAAUUCGUCAAUUUCUAGGUCUAGCUGGCUACUAUCGCAGAUUCAUAAAGAACUUUUCGAGCAUUGCGAAACCUCUUACUUCAUUAACCCAGAAAGGUGUGGCCUUUGACUGGGAAGCGAAACAAGAGAAGGCAUUCCAGACACUAAAGCAGGCCUUGUGCACCGCACCGAUACUAUCCCUCCCCGAAGGGAUAGAAGACUUCGUAGUGUAUUGCGAUGCUUCAAAUCAAGGACUUGGUUGUGUUCUUAUGCAGAGAGGGAAGGUUAUCGCUUAUGCCUCCCGACAGCUUAAGACACACGAAGUGAACUAUACGACACACGACCUCGAGUUAGGAGCAGUGGUAUUUGCUCUGAAGAUCUGGAGGCACUACUUAUACGGAACAAAGAGUACUAUAUUCACCGAUCACAAGAGCCUUCAACACAUUUUCGAUCAGAAGGAACUCAACAUGCGACAACGACGAUGGGUUGAGUUACUGAAUGACUACGAAUGCGAAAUUCGUUAUCAUCCUGGCAAGGCCAACGUAGUAGCCGACGCCCUCAGUCGAAAGGAAUACACUGGUCGGAGGGUCAAAUCUCUGACCAUGACUAUCCAUUCCCACUUAUCCACACAAAUUAAGGAAGCACAAAUGGAAGCUUUGCAACCUGAAAAUGUGGCGGGUGAAUCCCUGCGAGGAAUGGAGAAGAAUUUAGAAGUCAAGGGUGGCGGAGCCUACUAUCUCAUGGACCGAAUCUGGACCCCAAAUCAUGGUGGUUUCAGAAACGUAGUCAUGACCGAGGCUCACAACUCAAGAUAUUCCGUUCACCCGGGUUCAGAUAAAAUGUAUCUGGAUCUUAAGAAACUGUACUGGUGGCCUAACAUGAAAGCAGAAAUUGCUACCUUCGUGAGUAAAUGUCUUACUUGCGCUAAGGUUAAGGUCGAGUAUCAGAAACCGUCAGGACUACUACAACAACCAGAGAUACCGGAAUGGAAAUGGGAGCGGAUUACUAUGGACUUCAUAACCAAGUUACCCAAGACGACAAGUGGACUCGAUACCAUAUGGGUCAUUGUCGACAGAUUGACCAAAUCCGCACAUUUCCUACCCAUCAAGGAGACUGACAAAAUGGAGAAGCUUACAAGAACUUACUUAAGGGAAGUAGUGCGACUGCAUGGUGUUCCGAUAUCCAUUAUCUCCGAUCGAGAUAGUAGAUUCACUUCAAGAUUCUGGCAGUCACUACAAAGUUCCCUGGGAACUAGGCUAGACAUGAGUACAGCCUACCACCCACAGACAGACGGACAAAGUGAGAGAACAAUACAAACUUUAGAAGACAUGCUGAGAGCCUGCGUGAUUGACUUUGGAAAGGCAUGGGAUAUUCAUUUACCCCUUGUCGAAUUUUCAUACAACAAUAGUUAUCAUACAAGCAUAAAGGCUGCUCCGUUUGAAGCCCUCUAUGGUCGAAAGUGCAGAUCCCCUCUGUGCUGGACUGAAGUUGGCGAUACCCAGUUAGCUAGAGGAAGAGUUCCUGAAAGCACUCUCACCGGUCCGGAGAUCAUACGUGAAACAACAGAGAAGAUCGUUCAGAUUCGUGAACGAUUGAAAGCCUCAAGAGACCGACAGAAAAGCUACGCUGACCAAAGGAGGAAACCUUUGGAAUUCCAGGUAGGAGACCACGUCUUAUUAAAGGUCUCACCGUGGAAGGGUUUAAUACGAUUUGGAAAGCGUGGGAAACUAAAUCCAAGAUACAUAGGGCCUUUCGAGAUUCUUGCCAGAAUCGGCCCUGUGGCUUACAAGCUUAACCUACCGCGCGAACUUAGUAACAUCCAUCCAACCUUCCACGUCUCAAACUUGAAAAAGUGUCUGUCCGACGAGACUCUUGUUAUUCCACUCGACGAGAUCGAGAUCAACGAGAGCCUCAACUUUGUGGAAGAACCAGUAGAAAUCAUGGACCGAGAGGUCAAACAAACAAAACAAAGUCGCAUACCCAUCGUGAAGGUUCGCUGGAACGCCAAGCGGGGACCCGAAUUCACAUGGGAACGCGAAGAUCAGAUGAAACAAAAGUACCCUCAUCUCUUUCAUGUUCACUAGUAUCUUUACUACUUUAAAUUUCGGGACGAAAUUCUCUCUAACGGGGGGAUGAUGUGACAACCCGAUAUUUCAACUCUUUGUAACGACCAAAAUGGGUCAAGUAUUGUAACCACUUCUGAAUAAUAAAAAGUUACUUUCAUAAUAAAAUGUAUAAAUAAGUUCUACUUAAUUUCCUUCUAUGAUUAAAUGUCUUUGAACCAUGAUCGUACGUGAAAAGAACGCCCAAAUCCGACUUCAUAUAGCGAAGUUAUGAUUUUUCCAAGUUCGGCUUAGCAACAGACAGCUAAAAACUCGAAUCGGAGAUCGAGCGACUUUUGGCCGGAAUGACCUAAACGAGAAUCGAAGGUCUCGACAAUGGUAUUCCAGCGGUAAAAAGUCUGGCAAAAACCGACAUCAGAUAAAGAAGUUAUGAAUUUUCAAAGAAAUUCCUUAAACACGAUGGGUUUUUAAUAAAUAAUAAAAAUAUAAUUUUGGAAUUUGCCGACGGAGUCUAAACGAAAGUUGUAGAGCGUAGUCUCACCUACGCGAGGAUAUAAAGACCAUCGAAAACGGAGUUCGUAUGAAGAAGAUAUGAAUUUUUGAAGUUUAUUAAAUAAAUUAAUUAUUUAUUUAAUUCAAAAUUCGGAUAUUAUCCGAAGGGGAGUCAGCAUCCUCCUCCGAGGUACGCGCUGCGUACCCCUGUACGCCCCGCGUAACCGAGAGGAUUGGCCUCUGAUCGUCCACGUCGCGCUAUCCGAAGAAACCGACCCAUCCGACCCGUCCGAAGCCCCGACCCGUCCGACCCGACGUCCCAUCCGACCCGGCGUCCCAUCCGACCCGCGUACCCAGCAACCCGUCCCAUCCGAACCGAGGCAGUCGAGGCUUCGGUCAUGCAUGACGUACGCGUACGCGCUGCGUACGAGCGUACGCCCCGCGUACCGAGGCAGACCAGCCUUACUAUAAAUAGGAUGCGAGGGUUUCCAAAGAAAGGGUUCAUUUCUCUUCUCUCUCUCUCAACUUUGCCUCGUUUUCCGUGUCCGUUCAAACCCGAAGCUCUGGUCUUUUUGGCUCAAGUCCCGAAGGUCGAUUUUACUCCCGAGAUUCCCGAGAAUCCCGAGGAAAAUCCGUUUCCCGAGACGAAACUCUGCCCGGUUUUCCAUCUCGCUAUCUCCAAAACUUUCAAGUGAGUUUCAUACCCCUUAAUCAACCUUUUUAAUUAUUCUAAAUACUUUUAUAUGCUUUCAAGGGGGGGAUUACAAGUAAAACACACGAGUAUUAUCGUGUGUUACAUAAAGAAACUCUUUUAUAUACUGUUAUAUAUUCAAAUCACAUGCGAUUUAUAAACAUUUAAAGGAACUUUUAUAUAUAUAUAACAUAUGUCACAAUAGCAUUUUACCUUUUAAAAUAUAAUGUUGUUGUAAUGCAUGUAUAAACUAAACUGUUCUUAGAUUUUUCUUGUCUAUCCUAGACUCU
rnacentral:lncRNA from 1 species